rnacentral:lncRNA from 1 species
AUGAGCUACCGCACCCCGCCCUUAAGAAGUCUUAAAGUCAUCUAUGAUAGGCUAAUGGCACUCUUCAUGACAAGCCUGAUUGUACUGUUAAGCUCCAGAGGAAAAAAUGUGGCUACAGAGUAUAUUAAAAUACAUACAAUUGAAAAGGAAAAUGUUCAUUUUUGCAAGCAGAAGAUUACCAACAGAAUGCUAAAAUUGAAGCUAGAAGAAAGAUUUGAAGUGCCUUUACAAGGUUAUUUCCAAGGUCAUCUGUCUCUUUUUAAAAGAAAAAUAAUAUCCAAAGAAGUCCCACCACUCAGAAGACUUUUACAUUUCAUGUCUCAUUUGCCAGAAUUUCUUCUUACAAGCUCUAAACCAAUCAUGGUUAGGGUAAUGUAA